AGAGUUCGAUCCUGGCUCAGGAUGAACGCUGGCGGCAUGCUUAACACUUCCAAGUCGGCCGGGAAGUGGUGUUUGCAGUGGCAGACGGGUGAGUAACGCAUAAGAACCUGCCCUUGGGAGGGUAACAACAGCUGGAAACGACUGCUAAUACCCUGUAGGCUGAGGAGCAAAAGGAGGAAUCUGCCCGAUGAGGGGCUCAUGUCUGAUUAGCUAGUUGGUGAGGUAAUAGCUUACCAAGGCAAUGAUCAGUAGCUGGUCCAAGAGGAUGAUCAUCCAUACUGGGACUGAGACACGACCCAGACUCCUACGAGAGGAAACAGUGGGGAAUUUUCCACAAUGGGCGAAAGCCUGAUGGAGCAAUUCCGCAUGGAGGUAGAAAGACCACGGGUCGUGAACUUCUUUUCCCGGAGAAGAAGCAGUGAUAGUAUCUGGGGAAUAAGCAUCGGCUAACUCUAUGCCAGCAACCACGGUAAUACAGUGGAUGCAAGCGUUAUCCGGAAUGACUGGGCGUAAAGCGUCUAUAGGUGGAUUUUUAAGUCCGCCGUCAAAUCCCAGGCCUCAACCCUGGAUAGGCAGUGGAACUACCAAGCUAGAGUACGGUAGGGGUAGAGGGAAUUUCCGGUGGAGCAGUUAAAUGCAUAGAGAUCGAAAAGAAUACCAACAACGAAAGUACUCUACUGGUCCGAAACUGACACUAAGAGACGAAACCUAGGGGAGAAAAUGGGAUUAGAUACCUCAGUAGUACUAGCCGUAAAUGAUGGAUACUAGGCGCUGUGCGUAUCAACCUGUGCUGUGCUAUAGCUAACGCGUUAAGUAUCCUGCCUGGGGAGUACGUUCGCAAGAAUGAAACUUAAUGGGAUUGACGGGGGGGCGCAUAAGAACCUUACCAGGGCUUGACAUGCCGCGAAUCAUCUUGAAAGAGAGGGGUGCCUUCGGGAACGCGGACAUAGGUGGUGCAUGGCUAUCGUCAGCUCGUGCCGUAAGGUGUUAGGUUAAGUCCCACAAUGAGCGCAACCCUAGUGUUUAGUUACCAUCCUUAAGUUUAGAACCCUGAAUAGACUGCCGGUGAUAAGCCGGAGGAAGGUGAGGAUGACGUCAAGUCAUCAUGCCCUUAUGCCCUGGGCAACACACGUGCUACAAUCGCCGGGACAAAGGCUAGCGAUCCCGCGAGGGUGAGCUAACACUAAAAAACCGUCCUCAAUUUGGAUUGUAGGCUGUAACUCGCCUGCAUGAAGCCGGAAUUACUAGUACUCAUCGGUCAUCCAUACAAUGAUGAAUUGGUUCCCGGGCCUUGUACAUACCGCCCUUCACACUAUGGGAGCUGGCCAUGCCUGAAGCCAUUACCUUAACCACAAGGAGAGGGAUGCUGAAGGCAGGGCUAGUGACUGGAUUUAAGUCGUAACAAGGUCGUCAUACUGGAAGGUGNGCAGCUG
rnacentral:rRNA from 1 species